GACGUAGGAUGCAAGCGUUGUCCGGAUUUAUUGGGCGUAAAGAGUUCGUAGGUGGUUCGUUAAGUCUGAUGUUAAAGACUGGGGCUCAACCCUGGAAGUGCAUUGGAUACUGGCGGACUUGAGUGUGGUAGAGGCAAUCGGAAUUCCAGGUGUAGCGGUGAAAUGCGUAGAUAUCGAGAGGAACACCUGCGGCGAAGGCGGGUUGCUGGGCCGACACUGACGCUGAUGCGCGAAAGCCAGGGGAGCGAACGGG
rnacentral:rRNA from 1 species